rnacentral:rRNA from 1 species
AGUUAACGUUGGCGGCGUGCCUAACACAUGCAAGUCGAACGCGUCCUAAGGGCAACUUUAGGAUGAGUGGCGAACGGGUGAGUAUCACGUGGGUAAUCUUCCUUCAAGUGGGGAAUAAGCUCUCGAAAGGGAGUCUAAUACCGCAUGACAUUCCGGGACACAAGUCCCGUAAUCAAAGCCGCAAGGCGCUUGAAGAUGAGCCUGCGUCCUAUUAGCUAGUUGGUGGGGUAACGGCCUACCAAGGCUUAGAUGGGUAGCCGGCCUGAGAGGGUGAACGGCCACACUGGGACUGAGACACGGCCCAGACUCCUACGGGAGGCAGCAGUGAGGAAUUUGCGCAAUGGGGGAAACCCUGACGCAGCGACGCCGCGUGGAGGAUGAAGGCCUUCGGGUCGUAAACUCCUGUCAGAGGUGAAGAAUACCGCAAGGGUUUGACGGUAACCUCAGAGGAAGCCCCGGCUAACUACGUG